GACGGAGGAUGCAAGUGUUAUCCGGAAUCACUGGGCGUAAAGCGUCUGUAGGUGGUUUAAUAAGUCAACUGUUAAAUCUUGAGGCUCAACCUCAAAAUCGCAGUCGAAACUAUUAGGCUAGAGUAUAGUAGGGGUAAAGGGAAUUUCCAGUGGAGCGGUGAAACGCGUAGAGAUUGGAAAGAACACCGAUGGCGAAGGCACUUUACUGGGCUAUUACUAACACUCAGAGACGAAAGCUAGGGUAGCAAAUGGG
rnacentral:rRNA from 1 species